rnacentral:rRNA from 1 species
UACGUAGGGGGCGAGCGUUGUCCGGAUUUAUUGGGCGUAAAGAGCGUGUAGGCGGCCAGGUAGGUCCGUUGUGAAAACUCGAGGCUCAACCUCGAGACGUCGGCGGAAACCCUCUGGCUAGAGUCCGGAAGAGGAGAGUGGAAUUCCUGGUGUAGCGGUGAAAUGCGCAGAUAUCAGGAGGAACACCGAUGGCGAAGGCAGGUCUCUGGGCCAUAACUGACGCUGAGAAGCGAAAGCAUGGGGAGCGAACAGG